ensembl:lncRNA
ACUCUUUUUUUAUGUUGAACAUUGUAUUUAAUUGUUUAGCUUUAGUGUAAAUGGUUAUGGUAAAGAUUGUUGUAUGUCUAUUUCAGAAAAAGCAGACUGACAGCAACAGUGGAGCCAGAAUGGCAUCACAAACUGCUGACAAUGCUCAGGAAAGUAAUCAUGCAAGCAAGAAAAAAGAAAAGGGGCUUGGAACUAAUGGACAUGAUUCACCAAAGGAAAGCAUAAACGUUUUUUGUAAGGAAGAAGAGGGACAAUCAAAAACUCAUCUGCAACAGGUAUGAGACUACAUUAAAGACUUUCUAAGUAAAAGUGCAUGUUAUGUUGCAACAUUGACUUCAUAUCAGAUUGGAAUUUAAUUAAAUCAAAAGCU